ACCACACACACAUUUGCAGGUAAUAAAGGUGUUGAGGUUGAAAACCAACCCAGUGACUGUUUAAUACCACGUGUAAGACUGUAACUUGAUUCAAACAGAGAAUAAAUGCACAUUCUCCCAGAGACAGAGUUGUGAGUCUGCAGAAGGAGCUGAAACUGAGAGCGCUUCAUGCUCUGCUGCUCCGUGAGGAUAUCUUUGGCCAUGUAGCCGUCGCUUGCGUCUUUCCUAUCUCUGGAGGAGGAAGAGGAGUUAAAACAUAUCUGCCAAGGGAUGUGUCACUCAGUCCUUCUGCCCCGGUGUCAGAUGUCAUGUGGGGGGGCCACGCCCAUGGAAGUCCCCCUGCAGUCUGCACUCGGGGUCCAGCGGGCCUGCAGUGGACAGCGCCGGGUCUACACCGACCUGCCUAUUGAGCCCCAGAUUCCAAAAGCAACCACAAAAACCACAAAAACCUUUUUCGCUUUUGGCGUCUGUUGCUUGGUUGGCAGGCUCUGUGGUUGGCUUGCCGUUGAAAAAACCACCUUUUAUUAAAGCUCUUCAAUGCUGUACGCCAUUUCCAACUUAACACCAAAAAAAAAUCAAUAAAAACAGUAAAAUCAUGGAACGUAAAAUGUCUCUGGUGUUGUUUUUUUGUUUUAAAAAAUGUUAAUCAUUUAACCUGCAGGUGUGUAACGUUUAUUACACUUUAGUGUGAUAAUGAGGGAACUAAAAUAUAUUUCUUCUACUUUUAAUAAUCAGAAGCUACUAUACUUUAGAGAUAUUACAGGUUACUGUAUUGCCAAGAG
ensembl:lncRNA